rnacentral:Y_RNA from 1 species
GGCUGGUCUGAGUGCAGUAGUGUGUACAGCUAAUUGAUUACAACUAGUUACAGAUUUCUUUGUUACUUCACUCCCACUGCUUCACCUGACUAGCUUUAA